GACGAACGCUGGCGGCGUGCUUAACACAUGCAAGUCGAGCGGACAGGCCCUGCUUUUGUUGGUUGCUCGUUUGGCGCACAGGUGAGUAACACGCGUGUAACCUCCACUUAUCUGUGUGGUAUCUUCUCGGGACUCGGGAUCAUACCGGAUAUGAUCUCCUGCACCGUGUUGUUGGUUAGAAAGAGUCGGCGGUUCGGGAUGGACUCGCGGCUUAUCCGCUUGUUGGUGUAGUAGUGGCGUACGAGGCCUAUGACGGGUAGCCGGCCUGAGAGGGUGAACGGCCACAUUGGGACUGAGAGACGGACCAGACUCCUACGGGAGGCAGCAGUGGGGAAUAUGGCACAAUGGGCGGAAGCCUGAUGCAGCAACGCCGCGUGCGGGAUAACGUCCUUCGAGUUGUAAACCGAUUUCGCCUGUGAUGAAGAGUGCGUGACGGUAAUUGGUAAAGAAGCAACGGCUAACUACGUG
rnacentral:rRNA from 1 species